rnacentral:rRNA from 1 species
GGCUUUUUGAUUAUAAUUUAAAGUCUAACCUGCCCACUGAUAAUUUAUUUAAUGGCCGCAGUAUUUUGACUGUGCAAAGGUAGCAUAAUCAAUAGUUUUUUAAUUAAAAACUGGAAUGAAAGGUUGAACGAGAAAAUAACUGUCUCUUUAUAAAUUAUUUAGAAUUUUAUUUUUAAGUUAAAAAGCUUAGAUAUAAUUAAAAGACGAGAAGACCCUAUAGAGUUUUAUAUAUAUAUUAAUUAUUAUAUUAAUUAGAAUUAUUUAAGUAUUAAUUAUAAAUAUAUUUAGUUGGGGUGAUUGAAAAAUUUAAUUAACUUUUUUUAUAUAUUAACAUUUAUUUAUGAUUUAUUGAUCCUUUAUUAUUGAUUAUAAGAUUAAAUUACCUUAGGGAUAACAGCGUUAUUUCUUUUAAGAGUUCUUAUCAAUAAAGAAGUUUGCGACCUCGAUGUUGGAUUAAAAUAAAGUUUUGGUGUAGUAGCUAGAAUUUUAGGUCUGUUCGACCUUUAAAAUUUUACA